AUUGAACGCUGGCGGCAGGCCUAACACAUGAAAGUCGAACGAGUGGCGGCAGGGUGAGUAAUGUCUGGGAAACUGCCCGAUGGCGGGGGAUAACUACUGGAAACGGUAGCUAAUACCGCAUACAAUCGGAUGUGCCCAGAUGGGAUUAGCUAGUGGGUGGGGUAACGGCUAACCUAGGCGACGCUCCCUAGCUGGUGUGAGAGGAUGACCAGCCACACUGGAACUGAGACACGGUCCAGACUCCUACGGGAGGCAGCAGUGGGGAAUAUUGCACAAUGGGCGCAAGCCUGAUGCAGCCAUGCCGCGUGUAUGAAGAAGGCCUUCGGGUUGUAAAGUACUUUCAGCGAGGAGGCGUUACUCGCAGAAGAAGCACCGGCUAACUCCGUGCCAGCCGCCGCGGUAAUUC
rnacentral:rRNA from 1 species